rnacentral:rRNA from 1 species
AUACGUAGGUGGCAAGCGUUGUCCGGAAUUAUUGGGCGUAAAGCGCGCGCAGGCGGGAAUGUAAGUCUGUCUUAAAAGUGCGGGGCUCAACCCCGUGAUGGGAUGGAAACUACAUUUCUUGAGUGCAGGAGAGGAAAGUGGAAUUCCCAGUGUAGCGGUGAAAUGCGUAGAUAUUGGGAGGAACACCAGUGGCGAAGGCGACUUUCUGGACUGUGUCUGACGCUGAGGCGCGAAAGCCAGGGGAGUGAACGGGAUUAGAUACCCCGGUAAUCCUGGCCGUAAACGAUGGGUACUAGGUGUAGGAGGUAUCGACCCCUUCUGUGCCGGAGUUAACGCAAUAAGUACCCCGCCUGGGGAGUACGGCCGCAAGGUUGAA